CCUACGGGAGGCAGCAGUGGGGAAUAUUGCACAAUGGGGGAAACCCUGAUGCAGCGACGCCGCGUGAGUGAAGAAGUAAUUCGUUAUGUAAAGCUCUAUCAGCAGGGAAGAAAAUGACGGUACCUGAGUAAGAAGCCCCGGCUAACUACGUGCCAGCAGCCGCGGUAAUACGUAGGGGGCAAGCGUUAUCCGGAUUUACUGGGUGUAAAGGGAGCGUAGACGGCAGUGCAAGUCUGGAGUGAAAGGCGGGGGCUCAACCCCCGGACUGCUCUGGAAACUGUACGGCUGGAGUGCAGGAGAGGUAAGUGGAAUUCCUAGUGUAGCGGUGAAAUGCGUAGAUAUUAGGAGGAACACCAGUGGCGAAGGCGGCUUACUGGACCGCGACUGACGUUGAGGCUCGAAAGCGUGGGGAGCGAACAGGAUUAGAUACCCUUGUAGUC
rnacentral:rRNA from 1 species